GACGUAGGGGGCGAGCGUUGUCCGGAUUUAUUGGGCGUAAAGCGUGCGUAGGCGGCUGCGCAAGUCGGGUGUGAAACCCCGUGGCUCAACCCCGGAACUGCAUCCGAUACUGCGUGGCUAGAGGUAGGUAGGGGAGAUCGGAAUUCCUGGUGUAGCGGUGAAAUGCGCAGAUAUCAGGAGGAACACCGGUGGCGAAGGCGGAUCUCUGGGCCUUACCUGACGCUCAGGCACGAAAGCUAGGGGAGCGAACAGG
rnacentral:rRNA from 1 species